rnacentral:lncRNA from 1 species
CACAUAUAUUAAGAUUUAUUUGUCUUAUCAUUGUCCUAGAUAAAUAUAUUAUUCAUGGAAGUUUGGAAAGGGGUAGAGCUUCUUUUAGAAGAGGACCUGAUGCUUCUUCCUUUGAUCUGGUGAUGGACUUUCUGCUACCUUAUCCCAGAAGAAAAGAUGGAAGCAAGAAGCAGCUUCAUAACCAAAGCAUAUACCAUAUGUAUCAUAUGACAUGCUCUGUAAUUCUAAAGACUACUAUGAAAUUGCUACUGAAGGAAUCUGUGAGGCUGCCUCCAGGCAGUGAGAGAAAACUGCAGGAUCCCACAGUUGUUUUUUGUCAUCACUGCCAGACAGCAGGGCAACAUCACGGGGCAAGUGUGGCACUCACCUGACUGGAUGCCUGCUCCUGAAAUGGCGUGGUAUGUACAUCCGGGUAUUUUGAUGGUGCAAAAUACCCGGAGGUGCACAAUCACUGGUUCCCAUGAGUGUGCAGUGACUAUGUUCAGCUUGGUUUGGCCAGCACAUGUGCAGUGGUCAUUUCCAAGAUGGAGGAUCCCAGGAACAAGCAUCCAGACAAGGUAAGACCUCUUGCUA